AUCCGCCCCCUGCCUCAUCCAGACUUCGCCCCCGUCAGUCUCCGGCAGCUUCUCGCGGCUUAGCAAGCCGCUUCCCGUGAUGCCCCGCGCCUGGGUGUAGCGGUUGCCGGGCAACGCGCGGUCUCCUGGCGCGGACGUAGCUGGAACCCGCUGGGAGAUGAGGCCGCUAGGCCUCCCGCCGCUCCUGGUGGUACUCCUGAGCUGCUGGGCCUCCGUGAGCGCCCAGACCGAGGCCACCCCGGCGGUGACGACAGAGGGCCUCAACUCCACCGAGGCAGCCCUGGCGACUUUCGGACCUUCCCCGUCGACCAGGCCCCCCGGUACUCCCAGAGCCCCAGGGUCCUCCUCCGGCCCCAGGCCUACCCCGGUCACGGACGUUGCUGCUCUGUGUGUCUGUGACUUGUCCCCAGCACAGUGUGACAUCAACUGCUGCUGUGAUCCUGACUGCAGCUCUGUGGAUUUCAGUAUCUUUUCUGCCUGCUCAGUUCCAGUUGUCACGGGCGACAGCCAGUUUUGUAGUCAAAAAGCAGUCAUCUAUUCAUUGAAUUUUACAGCAAAUCCACCUCAAAGAGUAUUUAAACUUGUUGACCAGAUUAAUCCAUCUAUUUUCUGCAUUCAUAUUACAAACUAUAAGCCUGCAUUAUCCUUUAUUAAUCCAGGAGUACCUGAUGAAAAUAAUUUUGAUACAUUGAUGAAAACAUCUGAUGGUUUUACAUUGAAUGCUGAAUCAGAUAUUUCCUUCACAACCAAACUGGAUAUUCCUACUACUGCUAAAUAUGAGUAUGGGGUUCCUCUGCAGACUUCAGAUUCGUUUCUGAGAUUUCCUUCCUCCCUGACAUCAUCUCUGUGCACUGAUAAUAACCCUGCAGAAUAUUUCUCGAAAGAUACACAAGAAGCCUCUUGCCAGUUGCCUCUGGAGAAGGGGACUGGUGCAUUUCUGGUGAACCAGGCUGUUAGGUGCACCAGAAAAAUAAAUUUAGAACAGUGUGAAGAAAUUGAAGCCCUCAGCAUGGCUUUUUACAGCAGCCCGGAAAUUCUGAGGGCACCUGAUUCAAGAACAAAGGUCCCUAUCACUGUUCAGUCCGUCAUCAUUCAGUCUCUAAAUAAAACGCUCACCCAACGGGAAGACACUGAUGUGCUACAGCCGGCUCUCGUCAAUGCUGGACACUUUCACCUUUGCAUGAAUGUUGUUCUUGAGGUAAAGUACAGCCUCACAUACACAGAUAGAGGUGAAGUCACCAAAGCUGAUCUGUCAUUCCUUCUGGGGACAGUUAGCAGUGUAGUGGUCCCACUGCAGCAAAAGUUUGAAAUUUAUUUUCUUCAGGAAAAUACCAAGCCAGUCCCUCUCAGUGGAAACCCUGGUUAUGUCGUGGGGCUCCCGUUAGCUGCUGGAUUCCAGCCUCAUAAGGGGUCUGGAAUUAUUCAGACCACGAACAGAUACAGACAGUUUACUAUUCUUCAUAGCACAGCUGAGCAAGACUGCUUAGCACUGGAGGGGGUCCGGACCCCAGUAUUAUUUGGUUACACUAUGCAAUCUGGCUGUAAACUAAGACUGACUGGAGCUCUCCCGUGUCAGCUCGUAGCCCAGAAGGUGAAGAACCUGCUGUGGGGCCAGGGCUUCCCAGAUUACGUGGCUCCUUUUGGAAAUUCGCAGGCCCAGGAUGUGCUGGACUGGGUGCCCAUCCACUUCAUCACCCAGUCAUUCAACAGGAAGGUAAAGGGGAGAAGGAUUCCUGCCAGCUCCCGGGGGCUUUGGUUAUAGAAGUGAAGUGGACCAAAUACGGAUCCCUACUGAAUCCACAGGCCAAAAUAGUCAAUGUAACUGCAAAUCUAAUUUCGUCCUCCUUUCCUGAGGCCAACGCAGGAAAUGAAAGGACGAUUCUUAUUUCUACUGCGGUUACUUUUGUGGAUGUGUCUGCACCUGCAGAGGCAGGCUUCAGAGCUCCGCCAGCCAUCAAUGCCAGGCUGCCCUUUAACUUCUUCUUCCCGUUUGUUUGACAAUGCUCAUAUGAAAGGAUGCAUCAAUUCCUUAAUAUACACGUGAAAUUUGAAAACUGUACAUUCGAUGAGACUAAAUUUUAUAUACAACUA